ACCUUUCUUCUCUUGCCAUUACCUUUUUCCCUUUGUUUUCUCUUUUUUCAUCUAUUAUUUUUUCUUUUCUUUUUUUCUUUUUUCUUUUUUUUUCAUAUUUUCUGUCCUCUUUUUUAUUUCUAUUUUCUCUUUUUUCUUUUUUUUAUCUUUUUUCUUUUUUAUGCUUUUCUCUUUUUUCUCUUUUUUGUUUUUUUUUUUUUUUUUUUCUCUUUUUUUCUUUUUUUCUUUUUUUUUUUCUUUUUUUUUUUUUUCUUUUCUCUUUUUUCUCUUUUUUUUUUUUUUUUCUUUUCUCUUUUUUUUUUUUUUUUUUUUUUUUUUUUCUUUUUUUUUUUUUUUUUUUCAUUUUUUUUCUUUUUCUUUUUUUUUCUCUUUUUCUUAUUUUUCUUUUCUUUUUUUCUCUUAUUUCAUAUUUUUUGUUCUUAUUUUUUCUUUUCUUUUUUCAUCAUUGGUUUGCCUUCAGCCCUCCCCUCAGCCCUUCCCUCCGCUCUGCUCUUCACCCAUCCCCUCCCCAUCCCCUCUUUCUCCCUUACCCCCCCUUUCCCCUUGCCUUGCCUCCCAUUACCUUGCCUGCCCUUCACUUACCUUCUCCUCACUUCCUGCUUCUUGAUGCUAUGGGCUUUUGCUGCUACUCACGCCAAACCUCAGCACUUGCCUACUCUGCUUGCUGCUCUGCCAAGUUGCUCUCUACUCUGCUCACAGCUUCACGCCUACUGCCUGCCCUUCUCUGUCCCCUUCUCGUGCCCUUCAGGCUUUUCCUCCCCUUGCUGAGCAAGGCCAUGCCCGGUAGCUACCCUUGAACCUCCUCCGCCCUUUGCCUUCCUCCACAGAGAUGCUUGCUUCUGGCCAGCACUCCUGCCCGGUGCCUAGCCCACACACCUCAUCUCUUGGGGAGAUAGCAAGGUGGCCUGUAGCUACCCACACCUCCUCCCGGGCAUGGCUUCUCAGCUUUGCUUCAAGCCCAGAACCCAAAGGAGCUCCUCUUACCUUUUGGCCCACAUUCUUCUCCUCCCGCGCAGCUCCUGUGGCAAGCAGGGGCACAGCUCUGGCCAGAUUCCUCCAUUCCUGCAAGGUUGCUUUUUGUCAUUCUUUGCCGCCUUUUGCUUUGCUCUCUUUUGCUGUGCUAUGCCUAGCUUUCCUACUUGCUUGCUCUGUAUUUACAUGCAUUGCUUUUUACUUGUUAUUCUCUUUUUUCCUCUGUUUCAUUAUUUUCCCUUCAACCCUCCCCUUCCCUCACCCUACCUCCAAUUUUUCC
rnacentral:lncRNA from 7 species